UAUCAGAGGGGUAGCCGUGUUGGUCUGGAUCUGUCAAAGCGGCAAAGAGUCCUGUGGCACCUUAUAGACUAACAGACGUAUUGGAGCAUAAGUUUUUGUGCGUGAAAACCCACUUCGUUAGAUGCACGUAGUGGAGCUUUCCAGAGUCAAG